AAUGGGAUAGCUGGGUCAAAUGGUGGUUCCAUUCCAAGUUUCCUAAGAAAUUUCCAUACUGCUUUCCAGAUUGGUUAUACCAUUUUUCAUUCCCACCAGCAAU
rnacentral:pre_miRNA from 1 species